rnacentral:rRNA from 1 species
GAUGAACGCUGGCGGCGUGCCUAAUACAUGCAAGUCGAGCGAACGGACGAGAAGCUUGCUUCUCUGAUGUUAGCGGCGGACAGGUUAGUAACACGUGGAUAACCUACCUAUAAGACGUGGAUAACUUCGGGAAACCGGAGCUAAUACCGGAUAAUAUUUUGAACAGCAUGGUUCAAAAGUGAAAAACGGUCUUGCUGUCACUUAUAGAUGGAUCCGCGCUGCAUUAGCUAGUUGGUAAGGUAACGGCUUACCAAGGCAACGAUGCAUAGCCGACCUGAGAGGGUGAUCGGCCACACUGGAACUGAGACACGGUCCAGACUCCUACGGGAGGCAGCAGUAGGGAAUCUUCCGCAAUGGGCGAAAGCCUGACGGAGCAACGCCGCGUGAGUGAUGAAGGUCUUCGGAUCGUAAAACUCUGUUAUUAGGGAAGAACAUAUGUGUAAGUAACUGUGCACAUCUUGACGGUACCUAAUCAGAAAGCCACGGCUAACUACGUG